AAUGUACUCCCUCCGUUCCGAAUUACUUGUCGCAGGUAUGGAUAUAUCUAGAUGUACUUUAGUUCUAGAUACAUCCAUUUCUGCGACGAGUAAUUUGAAACGGAGGAAGUACAUU
rnacentral:pre_miRNA from 1 species